rnacentral:lncRNA from 1 species
GAUUUUUAUGGUAAAAACUUCAUAUUUUGUAGGUUUAAUGAUUCAAUCAUCAAUGAAGUAUAUUGAGAAGAUAUUUGGAGGAUUGAAGAUGGAUUAAAGUGGUGAAAAUAAAAUAUGAAGUGUAAAAGAAGAAAUGCAAUUUGAGGACAAAAAUCAAGAAAAGUCAGCUUUGACAACUCAGAUACAUUUUCGUAUUUUGACUAUAUCAGGAGCUACAAUGAUCGGAUCAAGGUGAUCUUGGUACCAUUUUGAAGCUAAGAGAUAUAUCUACAUUUGGUAUGAAGACAUCAAAGUCCAAUUCAGCCGUUUUCUUGGUCAAAAGGUCGAAACACAGAAACUUAUCUGGAUGGUCGAAAGCUGAAGCCCAGAAUUGACCAGUCUAUGGUAUUUUGACCAUAUCUCCGUCCACCGAUCUCCAAAUUAGAUGAUUCUUGAAGCAUUGGAACUCUAAUUCAAAGGGUUAC